rnacentral:lncRNA from 1 species
UCUGUAGAAAGAAUGUGGUAUCAUUGCUGGGCUAUUAAACUUAGUGACCCUGCAGUUCAACCACAGGCUGGUUUCACUUGGUGAAAUCACUGGGUGAAAUUCUGUGCUUUGUAGGCAAGCUGUCAGAGUCAACCCAAACACCACUGGUGUAUUAAGUCCCACUGGAUUUGCCUCUCUGUCCCAUCGCUCCCUUCCUAGCAUGGCUUCUCUGAUUCCAUGCCACAGAACAACACCUGCUCUCCCCACCUCUCAUAUCCCUGGGUCUUCAAACACUGAGGAGAAUACCAGAAUUUAUCCCACUGAGGGCCAAAAAGCAGCUUGUCCCAUCAUUCAACAGCAAGCCAGCUGACAGUUUACCUCGCCACCUCCAUAGUAGUAGGCAUGACCUUCCUCAGAGAGACUUAGGCAUGAGAAAUGAACUCUUGCAAAACAGUGCAAAGCAGGUAAAUUAAGCUUUUAAAGAAAAAUUUCAAUGGAAAAAUAUAUGUUCCCUUGGAGCCAAAUGAAAAAGAACCCCAAGUGAAGCUUGCAGAGUCU